ACUUUUCAACCCCCUGGCAGAAAACAAAUGCUUUGCGUGACACAGAAAACAGGCGUCCGAGCGGCCCCUCUCCCCGAUUACCCUCGCUCGCACUAGGGUUCCCUGCGCCGCCGCCGCCGCCGCCAGCCAACCCAGCCUCCCAGCCGCUCCGCCCCUCUUCCUUUCCCGCUCACCGCGGUCGCCCCCUCCGUCCCGCUCGACUCCCUGCCGGUCCUCGCCGAGAAGCCUACGAGUCACCGCCGUGCACACCCCGUCGUCUACCACAUCCACCUCGUCCAACCGAAGGCUGCUCCCCUCACAGCGACGAAGUGAGGCACCAACGACCAUGACCUUGACGAGAGGCAGCCGGUAGAGUCGAAACCGCCUUCUCCACGGCCGUCGGUUGCUUCCCGGUCCGUCUGAGAUCCGUCCGAGCCACCGGUGAGACGAACGCUUCCUGUGUGCAGUGCACAUAGUAGCUCAUGGGGAGAAGGAAAGCAGUGGAGAAGAAGAGAUUGAAUGAUAUGUGCCUCUUGUAUGGGCUACUGUUAGGGCACUCUUUUGGGAUCGGGCACUGUGGAGCACAGGGAAGGAGGACAAGGAUGGGAGGUGUGUAGAAUUUGGCGCCAAGGGAGAUGAUCGAGAUGGUGGAGCAGAUCCAAUGGACUCUAGGAGACUAGGUGUUCUGGCCCAACUUCCUCUUUUCCUUCUUUGUGGUCUUUCUGUUGUGGUGACCGGAGGAUUGCUAACUUUGUGAUUGCCGCACAUAAACCUGCUGAGCCGACAUCGACGCCAAGUGCGGCGAUGCCACUUCCGAUGAUUGGGAGGGUGAGUUCUUCCUGGGCUUUACCAAGAUCAGCUAUGAGGGUCCAACUAGCAAGAGGCCGCUUUCUUACAAGUGGUAUAACACGGAGGAAGUGAUUCUUAUACAAAAAAUGAAAAUGAAGAAGGAGAAGAGAAUGUCCAUGGCUCAUCAGGGGGCGGCAGGCGGGGCGACACGAUGCUGACAAAGGUGUUCGUGGGUGGCCUGGCGUGGAAGACGAGCAAGGAGGGCGUGCAUGGCCACUUCGAGCGCUUCGGCGAGAUCCCCGAGGACGUCGUCAUCGCCGACAAGGGCACCAGCAGAUCCAAGGGCAGCAGAUUCUUACGUUCUGGAGACAGAGGCGGCCAUGAAGGGCUUGGCUCCGUACCCGUGAUUGACGGCCGGAGGGCCAACUGCAACCCCGACCUGCCUUGGGGUCCAGAGGUCCAAGGCGCCACAACCAACUGCCUCUGAUGCAUCCAUAUUCUGGUUCAUUCCAGCUCAGUGUGGUAAUCUGCAGCAAUCAAGUUAACAAAUCUUAGUUGAAGUAUGUGUUCUAAAUUUUCGGUGGUGAUUUUUUUGUGACUAGACCAAAUCAAAACUGAAGUAUGUAUUCUGAAUUUUGUUCAUAUGACUAGAUGCAUAUGAACUGAAGCUCCGUCAUUCUUUCUAAGGUGAUAGUGGUCGCAACCAGCUAAAAUUAGGGGCUAUAAAGGAACUAUAAAAAAUAUUUGAACUGCUGGCAAUGUCGAUGUAAACACGGGCAUUUAACCAGCAGAUUUUGAUUUAACUAUAACUAUCUAUUGACACAAGGCUAAAAAAAGAGUGGAAUUGAUUUGUAAGCAAUUCUUCUUGAGAUAGACUUUCUGGGUAGUUUGUUGCAAGUAUAUAACCUGGAACUUCAGUUCGAGAUAUACAACUGACAAUCUAUGAUCACUACGACAAUUUAGAUUGGUUAGCAAAAUUUCUUAGGCGGUGAGACUUAUGCAAGUAGCUAAGGCUACAAAUAGAUGAGCAUUGGCCAUGAUUAGCAGCACCGCAUCAGGAGGGCAUUCGUCCUGGAAGUGUGGUCGGGGCUGACUGGGGAUGAUUAUUUUUUCGGUGGUAAGGGAUGAUUGAACACAUGUGAGUGUCUUCUCAACUUGGCGUUGCUUCUAAUGUGUUGGACACUGAUCCAAGUUUGCAGUGAGCUGAGAUGCAUCUUUGAAAAUCUCAGCAGAGAGAUGCUAAUUCUCCAUGAUUAUUAACUUGAUGUCGGAAAUCUUAAUUUCGUCUUUCCUAUUGCAGGUUUAUUCCAGCUCGAUGUGGUAAUCUGCAGCAAUCAAGUUAACAAAUCUUAACUGAAGUAUGUGUUCUAAAUUGCCGGUGGUGAUUUUUUUUCUGACGAGACCAAAACAAACUGAAGUAUGCAUUCUGAAUUUUGUUCAUAUGACUAGAUGCAUAUGAACUGAAGCUCAGUCAUUCUUUCUAAGGUGAUAGUGGUUGCAACCAGUUAAGAUUAGGGGCUUUAAAGGAACUAUAAAAAAUAUGUGAACUGCUGGCAAUGUCGAUGUAAACACGGGCAUUUAACCAGCAAAUUUCGAUUUAACAAUAACUAUCUGUUGACACAAGGCUAAAAAAAGAGUAGAAUUGAUUUGUAAGCAAUUCUUCUUGAGAUAGAGACUUUCUGGGUAGUUUGCUACAAGUAUAUAACCUGGAACUUCAGUUCGAGAUAUACAACCGGCAAUCUAAGAUCACUACGACAAUCUAGAUAGGUUAGCAAAAUUUCUUAGGCGGUGAGACUUAUGCAAGUAGCUAAGACUACAAAUAGAUGAGUGUUGGCCAUGAUUAGCAGCACCACAUCAGGAGGGCAUUCGUCCUAGAAGUGUGGUCGGGGCCGACUGGGGAUGAUUAUUUUUUCGUGGGCAAGGUAUGAUUGAACACAGGUGAGUGUCUUCUCAACUUGGUGUUGCUUCUAAUGUGUUGGACACUGAUCCAAUUCUGCGGCGAGCUGAGAUGCAUCUUUGAAAAUCUCCUGAGAGGUCUGAAUUAGUCCAAGCCUAUGCAGAAUGCCUACAUAUGCCACUUGAACUUUGGAGGGGUAGACUGAUGGAUCGUUGGGCUGGGAUGAAGUUUCAUAUAGUGUGUUUUGUCACGAGAAGAAAUGCAAACGAAAACACAAUUACCUUACAUUGUUAAUGUAUAUGGUAUGAAGAAAACGGAACUUGUUUUACCUCUUUUUUUUUUCUAAUUUGUAACUCUUCUUACCUAUAUUUGGCAGAGGUACAAUGGUUAUUGACUUGUACUCCCUCCGUUCCAAAAUAGAUGACCCAAAAGGGAGUACGUUCUAUUUCUGACCCAACAAAUCUAAUAUGCAAGGAUAACAAUAAAAUCAGAAUGAUCAAAAGUUAAAACACAUGUGCAUGCUUCAUGAGUUAUGUAUACUUCUGAAUCUAUUUUUACCUCUACUAUCUGAUACGUUGAAUAGUGCAUGCUCUGCUCUUGCAUGCCACAUCUGCCUGUACUAUGCUGUUAUUUAUGAUUUCGGGGGAACUGAUAUCUUGAUUAUAGGAAGUGGAGAGGAAAACCCCUGAUCAGUAGGGAGUACAGGAUAACGUGGUCCAGCUCACCAUCCUAGGCUGCAGGCUGGUUUGGUAACAAGCGGAGACAGACUAAGGAAAAGGUGCCAAUGAUGGAGGUGUGUGUAGACAUGGAAGACCUUGCCACUAAGAGCUUCUUGCGAGGGCAAGAGGUAAACUGACGCUGAGUGUUGUGAUCUGUGGGGAGUAGUGUGAGGUGUCCAGUGAAGGGACAUGAUUCAGGCAAGUAACUGUUACUAUAGGAAAAGUCCCUUUGUACACUAAGUCCCUUUAAAGUGAUGUGCAUAGCACAAUAAAAUAGGAAAAGUUUAACCUUUGUUUUA